rnacentral:rRNA from 1 species
GAUGAACGCUGGCGGCGUGCUUAACACAUGCAAGUCGAACGAACCUUCGGGUUAGUGGCGGACGGGUGAGUAACGCGUGAGAAUCUGCCCUCAGGAGGGGGGUAACGGUUGGAAACGGCCGCUAAUACCCCAUAUGCCGCGAGGUGAAAUGAAUUUCGCCUGAGGAUGAGCUCGCGUCUGAUUAGCUAGUUGGUGUAGGUAAUGGCUCACCAAGGCAUCGAUCAGUAGCUGGUCUGAGAGGAUGAUCAGCCACACUGGGACUGAGACACGGCCCAGACUCCUACGGGAGGCAGCAGUGGGGAAUUUUCCGCAAUGGGCGAAAGCCUGACGGAGCAACGCCGCGUGAGGGAUGAAGGCCUCUGGGCUGUAAACCUCUUUUAUCAAGGAAGAAGAUCUGACGGUACUUGAUGAAUAAGCCACGGCUAAUUCCGUG